UUUAUCCGAAAUUUUCCCAGC
ensembl:piRNA 21ur-10906 ncRNA